CUCGGCGGCUGUCCGAAUGCCUCCUGGUACCCCGGCGGCGAGCGCCACCGGGAGCGCCCUCCGACCCCACAGUCUCAGAGUGUCCUGCGCUGCGGACCCAGGACGCCCACGCAGGGCCCCUUAAGGACAGGACAGUGGCUCUAAGGUGCCUCCUGCAGGGAGACCACUUCUUGAUCGCUCUUAGACGCAGUACCUCUGGCUUGUGGAGACUCUUCUGGUGGCUCUACGUUGGAGGAGGUCGUGGAGAGAACAUGAUCACCAGUUGACUGAGAACUGGACCUGGGCGGUCAGAGGCUCCUCACCCCUCCCCUGUGCUUGGAAUGGAUGCUAUCCUUGCUGUUCCCACAGUGGGAGCCGUCUUCAAGGAUGCAGCUCUGAGAGAGCACUGUGUUAUUGACGCCAUCUGGACGGGAUGCAUGACUGAACCCCGUUAAGGUCUCUGUCUAAACUUUCAAGAUUUGAUGGCAGUACGGAGAUCUACUCGUCUUGGCGGCCGCCCAAGACAAGCCUCGUAAAUAGGUUCCCCUGCUUAUGAAACUGCCACCUGCCAAUCUGGAGGGCUCUGCCUCGUUCCUCAGUCUCUCCUGGCCCUGCGUGUACGGGGCUGGUUUUGGGACCAACAUUCCAGCCGCUACCUUCCUCCAGAACGUGCUCCUCCUGCUGUUCCCGUCCGGGUCAGCAGUGGUAUCGAACCUGAAGUGAGUUGGCUCACCCGUCGCACAGCAAGCCAGUCUCUAACACGAGAUGUAGUGGAAGAAACGACGGCCUCCUCUCCAGGCCCCCGGCCCCAGGGCUUCCCCUCCAGUCUUCACGGGGCCUCCAGAAUGAUUUCUAGGUCCUCCUUUAAAACUUUUUUGUAUCCUACAGAGUACUGGGUAGAAUAGUGGCCCCCUAAAACACCUCAGAAGGUGACCUUAUUUGGAAUAACGGGUUUGCAGAUGUCAUUAGGCAAGGAUCUCCGAGUGAAAUCAUCAUGGAUUUAGAGUGGGUUCUAAAUCCAAUGACUGGUGUCCAUGUCAGAAGAAGAGACAGAGACAUGAGGGCAAAGGCCAUGGGAAGAUGGAGGUAGAGAAGGGAGAGAUGUAGCCACAACCUAGGAAUGGCCGGAGCCGGGGGGAGGCACUCAUUGGAGGGGCCACAGAGCACCAUGUGGGCUGGAGGUUAGCACAGCGUUGGCACAACUUCUUAAUAGGAAAAAAAUGGAAGAAACCUAAAGACCCAUCUAUAAGAUAUUAGUUAAAUUAACUGUGAAAUAACCAUGCAUUCAAAGAGGGACUCUUUAUUCUCCUGGUUUUCAAGGCACAGGUGCCAGGCAGGCUGCAUUGUCAGCAAAGGCAGAAGUCAUUGUAGGCACAGCAGGGAGGAGCUGCAAACGCCACUCAAAAGGCAUUUCGCGGGCGGGGCUGCCAGAGCCUGCGGGAGCCAGGGAGGAGAGAGCUUGGCCUCCUUCCCGAGGGGUGGUUGCGACAACUUGAGAAGAUGGUGGCAAGAGAAAGGCUUGGGAUGCACUUCACCAUGAGUGAUGAAAUCCUGGUGACCGCUGCAUUUGUGCUGACCGCGGGCCUUGUUGUGUUUAAGCUGCCUCCGGCUUGUGCCACACUUUUGGUCCCGAUCUUUGCCUCAAAGGUCAUCGAUUACUUCUCAGAGAAGAAAAAGAGAAAAUGAACAGGAACUAUUGACAAGAAUCCUCUCUAAGCCCCUAAAGGACAGGGGUGGACCCACCUUCCUGCGGACAGGAAUGUCAUGAGACAACAUGCUAUACACGGUUGACAUUUUGAGUGUGAACAAAGUCAACUAUGGGCAAAAAAAAAAUCUAUUGAACAACAUUUAUUGAGUGCCUACUGUGUGCCUGACUCAUUUCCAGAAUCCGAC
rnacentral:lncRNA from 1 species